rnacentral:rRNA from 1 species
GAUGAACGCUGGCGGCGUGCUUAACACAUGCAAGUCGAACGGACUCAUAUUGAAACCUAGUGAAGUAUGAGUUAGUGGCGGACGGGGGAGUAACGCGUGGAAAACCUGCCGUAUACUGGGGGAUAACACUUAGAAAUAGGUGCUAAUACCGCAUAAGCGCACAGCUUCGCAUGAAGCAGUGUGAAAAACUGAGGUGGUAUACGAUGGUUCCGCGUCUGAUUAGCUAGUUGGUGGAGUAAAAGCCUACCAAGGCGACGAUCAGUAGCCGGCCUGAGAGGGUGAACGGCCACAUUGGGACUGAGACACGGCCCAA